rnacentral:rRNA from 1 species
AAUCAACGCUGGCGGCGCGCCUAACACAUGCAAGUCGAACGAGAGAGCAGGAGCAAUCUUGUGAGUAAAGUGGCGUACGGGUGAGUAACACGUGGAUCAUCUACCCUCUUGUGGGGGAUAACUCUGGGAAACCGGAGCUAAUACCGCAUAAGUCCGAGAGGAGAAAGCAGUAAUGCGCAGGAGGAGGAGUCCGCGGCCGAUUAGCUAGUUGGUAGGGUAAAAGCCACCAAGGCAACGAUCGGUAGCCGGCCUGAGAGGGCACACGGCCACACUGGCACUGAAACACGGGCCAGACUCCUACGGGAGGCAGCAGUGGGGAAUCUUGCACAAUGGGGGCAACCCUGAUGCAGCGACGCCGCGUGAGCGAUGAAGCCC